GACAAGGUGGAGAAGUUCAAAUACAGCCGAAGUACUAAGGACUCGCUUCAUGCCAAGUACAACACGCGCACCUGUGCUACCGUGGUCGGGGACCACCAGUGGGGUCACCUGCAGGUGGACGCCACCUCGCUCUUCCUGCUCUUCCUCGCUCAGAUGACAGCAUCCGGCCUGCACAUCAUCUACACGCAGGAUGAGGUGGACGUCGUUCAGAACCUCAUGUUCUACAUCGAGGCAGCUUACAAAGUGGCUGAUUAUGGGAUGUGGGAGAGGGGGGACAAAACCAACCAGGGCAUCACGGAGAUCAAUGCUAGCUCCAUCGGCAUGGCCAAGGUUAGUGCACACGCACGCAGCAGCCCAGGCUGAGUGAAGGCUGGACAGCUGCAGCCGUAAAAAUAUCUGGCUCAGCUUCUGCUGCCGAGUCACUGCAGCGUCUGACAUUUAAGUGACCCGACACUCUCGCAUCAGCUUUGCUGCGGAGGGCAAAUGGAAACUGUAGAGGAAUAUGGAGAAAAUCCCAGUGCAGGUUUUUAUUUCAUAAGGGGACUGACCUUUAGGGUUUAGGUGGUUUGGUUUCAUAUCACACGAGUCGGUCAGAAGUUAUUGUCACAUUUGUGUUUCCGAGGCUCCACUUUGGCUCUGUCUUUGGUUCUCUUGUGGGGGUGCAUGGAGGGUGUCAGGUUUUCAGUACUCCUUACUAAUAACACAGAGCUCAGAGUGCUCAACACAGGAAGCACAGACUUUAAUGAGUGUUCAGCUUUGUUAAUGACAAAUGCUUUGUUAGGAUUCACAGCUCCACUGUCGCCUCGUGCAGUAUGAAGAUGAGAUCAAACACCGCACUGCAUUUAUCAAUCAAACCAAAACAAAUUAAACCAUACCAAAACCACCCCAACACCUAUAAACAUACCAUACCCAGCAUCAUCUGGGUAUACCAUACCUGUACCAUGCCUGUAACCAUAACCGUAGCCACGCCCAUACCCAUAAUGUACCCAUACCCAUACCAUAACCA